rnacentral:ncRNA from 1 species
GGUUAAGCGACUAAGCGUACACGGUGGAUGCCCUGGCAGUCAGAGGCGAUGAAGGACGUGCUAAUCUGCGAUAAGCGUCGGUAAGGUGAUAUGAACCGUUAUAACCGACGAUUUCCGAAUGGGGAAACCCAGUGCAAUUCGUUG